rnacentral:rRNA from 1 species
GUGCCAGCAGCCGCGGUAAUACGUAGGGCGCAAGCGUUAUCCGGAUUUAUUGGGCGUAAAGAGCUCGUAGGCGGUUUGUCGCGUCUGCCGUGAAAGUCCGAGGCUCAACCUCGGAUCUGCGGUGGGUACGGGCAGACUAGAGUGAUGUAGGGGAGACUGGAAUUCCUGGUGUAGCGGUGAAAUGCGCAGAUAUCAGGAGGAACACCGAUGGCGAAGGCAGGUCUCUGGGCAUUUACUGACGCUGAGGAGCGAAAGCAUGGGGAGCGAACAGGAUUAGAUACCCUGGUAGUCC